AUUGAACGCUGGCGGCAGGCCUAACACAUGCAAGUCGAACGAGCGGCGGACGGGUGAGUGAUGUGUGGGAAACUGCCGGAUGGAGGGGGAGAAAGACUGGGAACGGUAGCUAAUACCGCGUAUCCUCAAGGAUGCGCCGAUGGGAUUAGAUGGUGGUGGGGGUAACGGCUCACCUAGGCGACGAUCCCUAGCUGGUCUGAGAGGAUGACCAGCCACACUGGAACUGAGACACGGCCCAGACUCCUACGGGAGGCAGCAGUGGGGAAUAUUGCACAAUGGGCGCAAGCCUGAUGCAGCCAUGCCGCGUGUGUGAAGAAGGCCUUCGGGUUGUAAAGCACUUUCAGCGGGGAGGCGUUACCCGCAGAAGAAGCACCGGCUAACUCCGUGCCAGCAGCCGCGGUAAUUC
rnacentral:rRNA from 1 species